UAACUUUAACAGAUUUAAAUAUUUGUCUCACUUUACUCAAAACAUUUAUAAAUUUAGUAAGGGUGAUAGAAAUUUAUUUUAUAUAAGAAAAGUACUGAGAAGGAAAAAAACAAUUAGUACACAGAAAAAAUUAAUUUUUGUACCUUUCGCAUCAUGGUUAGCUAGAUUUCACUUUCGUAAGAAAACCCUCGAAACCUAAUGGGCUAUUUUUAUCCAGCAAUAUUAGAUGCUAAAAAGUAAUUGUAGCAAAAAUUUUUUUAGAGUUAAAAAUAGAAAUGAAAUUUUAUCCGUAUUAGGUGAUAGCUAGUUCUUCGCUAAAAGUAUAGAAGUACUACAAACUUUUUACACUAAAGCACAACUACCUUUAGUGUGAAUAAAAGUUUAGUCAGGCCUUUGAGGAUAAGCUCAAAAGCAAAAUUUGUAUUUUAAUGUUAAUUAGUUAAAUUUAGGCUUGAAAAUGGCCACAAUCUGUGAUUUUGUUAUAAUUUCAUUACUUUCGUUAACAUACAAUUAAUUUACUUUUGGUUAGUGAAGAAAACUUUUUAACUUAAAAAAGUUAAACUCAUGCUAAAAUGAGUAUUAGUUAGAUUUUAUUUUUUCUUAGUGUAAAUUUAUAAACUAAAUAAAAUAUAUACUUUACAAAUUGUUAAAAGGAACUCGGCAAAAUUUAAUUCCGCCUGUUUAUCAAAAACAUGGCUCCCCGGAACUUAAGAUAGGGAGUCGGACCUGCUCGGUGAAUUAUUUUUAACCAGCCGCGGUACUCUGACCGUGCAAAGGUAGCAUAAUCAUUUGCCUUAUAAUUGAAGGCUAGUAUGAAUGGUUUGACGAGAAUUAAGCUGUCUCUUUUCAAUUAAAUAUAAUUUUAUAUACAGGUGAAGAAGCCUGCAUCCUAUUGAAAGACAAGAAGACCCUAUCGAGCUUUAAAGAAUUUAUAAGACCUACUAAGUAUUUAUAAAUAAACAGGAUAAUAAAAACUUUGGUUGGGGCGACUGAGGAACAAAUAAAGCUUCCUUUAUACUGUAGAAACUUACUGGUAUUGAUCCAAUAUAUUUGAUUAAAGGAAUUAGUUACCGUAGGGAUAACAGCAUAAUCCCUUUUGAGAGUUCUUAUCGAAAAGGGGGUUUGUGACCUCGAUGUUGGACCAGAAUACCCAGAAGAUGCAGCCGUCUUCAAUGGUUGGUCUGUUCGACCAUUAAAAUUCUACGUGAUCUGAGUUCAGACCGGCGUGAGCCAGGUCAGUUUCUAUCUUCA
rnacentral:rRNA from 1 species